GAUGAACGCUGGCGGCGUGCCUAAUACAUGCAAGUCGAGCGAAUGGAUUGAGAGCUUGCUCUUAUGAAGUUAGCGGCGGACGGGUGAGUAACACGUGGGUAACCUGCCCAUAAGACUGGGAUAACUCCGGGAAACCGGGGCUAAUACCGGAUAACAUUGUGAACCGCAUGGUUCGAAAUUGAAAGGCGGCUUCGGCUGUCGCUUAUGGAUGGACCAGCGUCGCAUUAGCUAGUUGGUGAGGUAACGGCUCACCAAGGCAACGAUGCGUAGCCGACCUGAGAGGGUGAUCGGCCACACUGGGACUGAGACACGGCCCAGACUCCUACGGGAGGCAGCAGUAGGGAAUCUUCCGCAAUGGACGAAAGUCUGACGGAGCAACGCCGCGUGAGUGAUGAAGGCUUUCGGGUCGUAAAACUCUGUUGUUAGGGAAGAACAAGUGCUAGUUGAAUAAGCUGGCACCUUGACGGUACCUAACCAGAAAGCCACGGCUAACUACGUGCCAGCCGCCGCCGUAA
rnacentral:rRNA from 1 species